rnacentral:lncRNA from 1 species
UCCUGUUCUUUGCGUGUGUUGUUGUGUCUGUUUUCCGUUCGUUCGUUUCUAGAGUCUUCGUGUCAAGGAAGGGAGUUGCUUCUAGGGGCUGAAUUUCACCAUUAAUUCUUCUCUUAUUUCAUACUUGAGGACAAGUAUGAUCUAAGUGUGAGGGGAUUUGAUGUGUGUAUUUUAGCUACCUAGUUUAGUGUGCGUUUUGCCGUGGUUUCAUGUGAUAUUACAUGUUUUGCUAUGUUUUGGCGCAGGAAUGAGAAGAAUUGGAGAUGGAGCUGCUAAUUGGAAGA